AUCAAUAUUGAUGAUGAUAGCAGCAGCCGAAGAAGAUGAAAACCAAAAGGAAAGGUGUCCCGAUUGCUUGCAGUGCAUUGAAGGCACUUCCCACCUUUUCUCUCUUUUCCUUUUCGCAAGGAAAUGAUUCACAAUGCAAAAAUGGCAAGGGAAAAGGAAAAGAAAAACGAAGGCGUUGUAGGAGGAAGUAAAAGAACCCGAAAGAGCGAGAGAGAGAGAUGCCGAGAGAAGGCAAUGAAAAUGUUUAUCAAACGAGAAAAGAGCAGCGACGAAGAUGAGGAGGAGGCGGCUGCAAAAGGAACAACAAGCUAGAGAUUACAAUGACAAUGCAUCCAUGAGAUACUCAGAUACAAUUUGAAAUCGAAUAUAGUUUCUCAAUUGAGUUGAGUCGCAGAAUGUAAAUAAACCAACAAUACAUCAUCGAAAUAGGUCGAAAGUAGAAA
rnacentral:sRNA from 1 species